AAAUCCACAAGAGCAGCAAUUAAUAUUCCCAUUGAAUGACUUUAUUUUUUGUCUCCCUUUUGUUUCCAGCGCCUGCCCCUGGCUCAGCGCCUGGUGCCAACAGAACACCUUUCAGGAUUCACAGCAACGCAGACAACGAGUCCAGAAUCCCGGCCUCUGCUUGGAACAGAACAGUGUCAUGGCGGAGACAACGGCCUUUGUCUUGCUGGGUGUGAAAACAUCCGCUGUUCUGGCUCCACUGCAGCAGAAUCAAGUUUAAAUGAAAAAAACACACAGCAAGUGAAGCGACAAGAGGAAUCCAUUAUGCAAAUCAUGUCACUUUGCAUAAUGUCUCAUGACUGGAAUAUGCAAAUGAGUUGUAUAAUUUAUGAGUGCCAGUGUCUGUCUAAAAGUGUUUCACAUAAUUUACAAAGUAAGCCUGAGAGACGGGUAAAAGCAGCUCUUCCAACUCCACUGCCAGGAAAGCCUUGUAUAUUCCCUCUAAGUGCCCCUCAUAAUAUUGUCAAGUGCUAUUUGAAAGAAAUUAAGGUUCCAAAUGUUCAUGAAGGACAAAGAUUUUC